rnacentral:lncRNA from 1 species
GCAAUGCAAUUGAUAUUCCAACAAAACCCUAUUUGUUGUUUUCUUAGAGGAAAACCCUAAUCGCUUUUGUUAGCCUCUUUUCUUAUUCUCUCUAAUUCUCAACAUUGUUAACACAAACAAUAGGGGAAAAGAAAAAGAACUACAACCACGCAUAUAUAUUAUUACCUUCCUCCACCGAUCCGUAUAAAGUUGUAAUGGAAACUUCUUGUUCCAAACAAGAAAGAAAGACAAGUGAUGACAGAAAAAAGAAGAAUAGGAAUGAUGCUGUCAAAGCCAAAGUCUCAAAAUCUAGGUACGAUAAAAUUAAAAAAAUAAUGGGAACUUGUUUUUGCCAACAAGAAACAAAGACAAGUGAUGGAAAAAAAAGGAAGAAUAGGAAUAAUGGAGUAUUAAUCUUUUCAGAUGAUUGGGGAGAUUGUGAUUGCGAUGGUUGUGACUGUGACUGUGGAGGUUGUGUAGAUGUGUGUAGCGGGAUUGAAUGGAGUGGUUGCUUCAGGUGAUUGAAUGGAGUGAUGGCUCCUUUGUGAUUUCUAAGUCUUUCUUAUUUCAACUUAUUAUGUGAUGUUUCAUCAUUCUUGGGUGUGAUUUUUUAAGAUAUUCAUAUUGCCUUUGGAAAAAAUAGUAAUAUUUUUUAAUUCUUGUUUUUUCUUUCUUUUAUAAUUCUUUUCUUGUGGUUUAAGUUUUAAGUUUUUAAAUAUAUUCAUGUUUACCACUAAUCAAAGGCAUAUUAGUGAUACUGUUUCAUAAAUUCCUCCAUGGUUGGUGGUGAAAUUUAUAUCUAGUAAGGUGCUCUUUUAGUACACAGUUAUGAGCUGACACACUAACAUUGAUCCAAACAACAAACA